rnacentral:rRNA from 1 species
UACGUAGGGGGCAAGCGUUGUCCGGAUUUAUUGGGCUUAAAGAGCGUGUAGGCGGUUUGGUAGGUCCGCUGUGAAAACUCGAGGCUCAACCUCGAGACGCCGGUGGAAACCAUCAGACUAGAGUCCGGAAGAGGAGAGUGGAAUUCCUGGUGUAGCGGUGAAAUGCGCAGAUAUCAGGAAGAACACCCGUGGCUAAGGCGGCUCUCUAGUACGGUACUGACGCUGAGACGCGAAAGCGUGGGGAGCGAACAGG